AGCAGUAUGGUGUAUGGCAGCACGCGGGACCAUCUUGUGGCCUUGGCGUACACUUGAUUCCCGAAGUCCUUGUUCGAUCCAAGGUGCUGCUC